rnacentral:rRNA from 1 species
AGUGAACGCUGGCGGUAGGCCUAGCACAUGCAAGUCGAACGGCAGCACAGUAAGAGCUUGCUCUUACGGGUGGCGAGUGGCGGACGGGUGAGGAAUACAUCGGAAUCUACUUUUUCGUGGGGGAUAACGUAGGGAAACUUACGCUAAUACCGCAUACGACCUACGGGUGAAAGCAGGGGAUCUUCGGACCUUGCGCGAUUGAAUGAGCCGAUGUCGGAUUAGCUAGUUGGCGGGGUAAAGGCCCACCAAGGCGACGAUCCGUAGCUGGUCUGAGAGGAUGAUCAGCCACACUGGAACUGAGACACGGUCCAGACUCCUACGGGAGGCAGCAGUGGGGAAUAUUGGACAAUGGGCGCAAGCCUGAUCCAGCCAUACCGCGUGGGUGAGGAAGGCCUUCGGGUUGUAAAGCCCUUUUGUUGGGAAAGAAAAGCAGCAGGUUAAUACCCCGCUGUUCUGACGGUACCCAAAGAAUAAGCACCGGCUAACUUCGU